rnacentral:rRNA from 1 species
GUGGGGAAUCUUCCGCAAUGGACGAAAGUCUGACGGAGCAACGCCGCGUGAGUGAUGAAGGUCUUCGGAUUGUAAAGCUCUGUUAAUCGGGACGAAAGAGCCUAGUGUGAAUAAUGCUAGGAAGUGACGGUACCGGAAUAGAAAGCCACGGUUAACUACGUGCCAGCAGCCGCGGUAAUACGUAGGUGGCAAGCGUUGUCCGGAAUUAUUGGGCGUAAAGCGCGCGCAGGCGGAUCUGCCAGUCUGUCUUAAAAGUUCGGGGCUUAACCCCGUGAUGGGAUGGAAACUACAGAUCUAGAGUAUCGGAGAGGAAAGUGGAAUUCCUAGUGUAGCGGUGAAAUGCGUAGAUAUUAGGAAGAACACCAGUGGCGAAGGCGACUUUCUGGACGAAAACUGACGCUGAGGCGCGAAAGCCAGGGGAGCGAACGGGAUUAGAAACCCCAGUAGUCC